UACGUAGGGUCCGAGCGUUGUCCGGAAUUACUGGGCGUAAAGAGCUCGUAGGUGGUUUGUCGCGUUGUCCGUGAAAACUCACAGCUUAACUGUGGGCGUGCGGGCGAUACGGGCAGGCUGGAGUACUGCAGGGGAGACUGGAAUUCCUGGUGUAGCGGUGGAAUGCGCAGAUAUCAGGAGGAACACCGGUGGCGAAGGCGGUCUC
rnacentral:rRNA from 1 species